rnacentral:lncRNA from 1 species
AGGUGCAGGUUUAAAGUCACAAUCUAUAUGCUAAAGUCAUCCAUCAAGCUGAAAAAACUUUCUGCUAUAUUUAGGAGCAAUCUUUAGUAAUGACAAAACUAUAAUCGAACAGAGCAUCAUCAACUGCUUGAAUUCUUAACAGCAAUACAAGCAAUAGAAGAAUAAGAAUCUCCAGGUAUCAAUUCUUCGCAAUGGCAAUUCUCUCAAUCAAGGCAU